rnacentral:rRNA from 1 species
UUGAACGCUGGCGGUAUGCUUUACACAUGCAAGUCGAACGGGCUAUGGGGCUUGCUCCAUAGUUAGUGGCGAACGGGUGAGUAAUAUAUCGGAACAUAUCCGGAAGUGGGGGAUAACGUAGCGAAAGUUACGCUAAUACCGCAUAUGCCCCGAGGGGGAAAGGGGGGGAUCGCAAGACCUCGCGCGAUUGGAGCGGCCGAUAUCGGAUUAGCUAGUUGGUGAGGUAAAGGCUCACCAAGGCGACGAUCCGUAGCGGGUCUGAGAGGACGACCCGCCACACUGGAACUGAGACACGGUCCAGACUCCUACGGGAGGCAGCAGUGGGGAAUUUUGGACAAUGGGGGAAACCCUGAUCCAGCCAUUCCGCGUGAGUGAAGAAGGCCUUCGAGUUGUAAAGCUCUUUCAGCAGGAACGAAACGGUCGGCUUUAAUAAAGUCGGCUAAUGACGGUACCUGCAGAAGAAGCACCGGCUAACUACGU